CAGUAGAUGAAGAUUUGCCAAUUCCAUCCACUUCGCGUGUUUUGCCUUUACCUUGUUCUAGAGAAUCGUCACCUAUUCCUUCCUUCGGUUCGGAUCUGGAAAAUGCUUUCAGCUCAGAUGAUAGUGUUUUUGAUAAGGAUUACCAACCUCCAUCGGAUAAUUUGAGUGAUUUGGAAACAAGUGCUACAGAAAAUAUUAAUGAAUUACCACAGGAAAUAAUAUCAAACAAAG